rnacentral:lncRNA from 1 species
GUAUCCCCAAUAUGAUUCUGCCCAGAUGCAUGCUGCUGCACCUCAUUGACAAGAGACUCUCGUUAGUCCCGAUUUCCAUUUCUGUUCGAAACUCCGAUCAAUUGCUCUACCAAACAAAAGGAGCAGCAGCAAGAAAAAAGGAAGAUGGCAGUCUCGGUAUAUCCUCUCCUGCCGGCGAAAAAUUGGGACUUUUCAGAUUCCGACGGUAGGGUUUCGACGUUGGA